AGCAGCCGCGGUAAUUCCAGCUCCAAUAGCGUAUAUUAAAGUUGUUGCAGUUAAAAAGCUCGUAGUUGAAUUUCGGGAUCAAUUUAUCGGUCGUGCCAAUGGUAUGAACUGGUACAAUUGGUUUCUCCCUUCUGACGAAGCAUGAUGUCAUUAAUUUGGUGUCGUGGGGAAUCAGGACUGUUACUUUGAAAAAAUUAGAGUGUUUAAAGCAAGCAUUAGCUUGAAUACAUUAGCAUGGAAUAAUGAAAUAGGACGUUUGAUCCUAUUUCGUUGGUUUCUAGGAUCGACGUAAUGAUUAAUAGGGAUAGUUGGGGGCAUUAGUAUUCAAUUGUCAGAGGUGAAAUUCUUGGAUUUAUUGAAGACUAACUACUGCGAAAGCAUUUGCCAAGGAUGUUUUCAUUAAUCAAGAACGAAAGUUAGGGGAUCGAAGACGAUCAGAUACCGUCGUAGUCUUAACCAUAAACUAUGCCGACUAGGGAUCGGAUGAUGUUAAUUUUUUAAUGUACUCAUUCGGCGUCCG
rnacentral:rRNA from 1 species